rnacentral:rRNA from 1 species
ACACAUGCAAGUCGAGGGGAAACGGCAUUGAGUGCUUGCACUCUUUGGACGUCGACCGGCGCACGGGUGAGUAACGCGUAUCCAACCUUCCCAUUACUGUGGGAUAACCUGCCGAAAGGCAGACUAAUACCGCAUAGUCUUCGAUGACGGCAUCAGAUUUGAAGUAAAGAUUUAUCGGUAAUGGAUGGGGAUGCGUCUGAUUAGCUUGUUGGCGGGGUAACGGCCCACCAGGGCUACGAUCAGUAGGGGUUCUGAGAGGAAGGUCCCCCACAUUGGAACUGAGACACGGUCCAAACUCCUACGGGAGGCAGCAGUGAGGAAUAUUGGUCAAUGGACGGAAGUCUGAACCAGCCAAGUAGCGUGCAGGAUGACGGCCCUAUGGGGUUGUAAACUGCUUUUGUAUGGGGAUAAAGUUAGGGACGUGUCCCUAUUUGCAGGUACCAUACGAAUAAGGACCGGCUAAUUCCGUGCCAGCAGCCGCGGUAAUACGGAAGGUCCAGGCGUUAUCCGGAUUUAUUGGGUUUAAAGGGAGCGUAGGCUGGAGAUUAAGUGUGUUGUGAAAUGUAGACGCUCAACGUCUGACUUGCAGCGCAUACUGGUUUCCUUGAGUACGCACAACGUUGGCGGAAUUCGUCGUGUAGCGGUGAAAUGCUUAGAUAUGACGAAGAACUCCGAUUGCGAAGGCAGCUGACGGGAGCGCAACUGACGCUUAAGCUCGAAGGUGCGGGUAU